rnacentral:rRNA from 1 species
UACGGAGGAUCCAAGCGUUAUCCGGAAUCAUUGGGUUUAAAGGGUCCGUAGGCGGUUUAGUAAGUCAGUGGUGAAAGCCCAUCGCUCAACGGUGGAACGGCCAUUGAUACUGCUGAACUUGAAUUAUUAGGAAGUAACUAGAAUAUGUAGUGUAGCGGUGAAAUGCUUAGAGAUUACAUGGAAUACCAAUUGCGAAAGGCAGGUUACUACUAAUGGAUUGACGCUGAUGGACGAAAGCGUGGGUAGCGAACAGG